CCUACGGGGGGCAGCAGUGGGGAAUAUUGCACAAUGGGGGAAACCCUGAUGCAGCGACGCCGCGUGAGCGAUGAAGUAUUUCGGUAUGUAAAGCCCUAUCAGUAGGGAAGAAAAUGACGGUACCUGACUAAGAAGCCCCGGCUAACUACGUGCCAGCAGCCGUGGUAAUACGCAGGGGGCAAGUGUUAUCCGGAUUUACUGGGUGUAAAGGGAGCGUAGACGGUCCUGCAAGCCAGAUGUGAAAGCCCGGGGCUCAACCCCGGAAGUGCCGUUGGAACUGUAAGGCUAGAGUGCUGGAGAGGUAAGUGGAAUGCCUAGUGUAGCGGUGAAAUGCGUAGAUAUUAGGAGGAACCCCAGUGGCGAAGGCGGCUUACUAGACAGUAACUGACGUUGAGGCUCGAAAGCGUGGGGAGCAAACAGGAUUAGAUACCCUUGUAGUC
rnacentral:rRNA from 1 species